CCUUAUGGCUAGGGCUUCACACGUCAUACAAUGGUCGGAACAGAGGGUAGCCAACCCGCGAGGGGGAGCUAAUCCCAGAAAUCCGUUCGUAGUUCGGAUUGCACUCUGCAACUCGAGUGCAUGAAGCUGGAAUCGCUAGUAAUCGCGGAUCAGCAUGCCGCGGUGAAUACGUUCCCGGGUCCUUGUACACACCGCCCGUCACACCAUGGAGAAGUGGUGUUUACACCCAGGAAGUG
rnacentral:rRNA from 1 species